CAGAACUUCCCAAUUCAUGCGGGGAAGAUGUGUGCCACAGAUAUGCCUCGUGCGUUGGAGGGAGAUGUGUGUGUAAUGACAUAUAUGCUGGUGAUGGAAAGAGCUGUAUAGGUUUGUACUACAGUUAAUUCUUUUGCAAUAAUUUUUGUGUUCUUGAUACGUUUUCGGUUUCGAAAGACUUUGAUUGAAUAUUUGUAACCGGGUGCCAGCAACCUUCCCUGUUCCCAGGGUAUCCCUUGAGUUUAUUACGUUUCGUAGCAAACGUCGGGUAAUCUGUUCUCUCUUAACACGUCCAUAACAUGCUCACGUUUCUGAAUUACUUUUUGACCGGUAAUUAUUCAACUCGUUGAAGCAAAGAGGUGUCAGUUUUCAAGGGGGAUGGGGGGCGAUAUGAAUCGCAGCAGACGCGGCACUAGUCCAUUUCAACAAGAACAACAACACAUCCAGUGGCAGGAAUCCAAUAUGUCAACAUUAAAACGUUCUACUGUUUUUACUUCUUUGAAGGAACAAAAAUUUGUGGCACGUCAGCGGAUGAUUGCCAUAGCGAUGCCACGUGUACAAACACAGGACCUGGAACGUAUCGGUGUACAUGCAAUGAGGGUUUCGACGGAGAUGGAAAGUCUUGUUCAGGUAUGCUUGAUGAAAUCAUUUAAAAUAUAUUAUUCUACUCAUCAAAAAGUGUGACCAGAGGUUCUAUGAUAGGUUUUGAGGAACGCAAAACUGCAAUUAUUUUGGUAACGGAAAAGGAUGAAAGGGAAAAAGAAGAAAAAUACAUCGGAAUUCGCAAUUUAUAACCAACAAUCAGUUGCACAAAAAACUGUAAAAAAAGUUACCAAAUCAUCAUUAGAAAUCUUUCGCCAAUUUACAGGGAUCACUAUCGAGGGAUAUUUACUCAAAAAUCGUCGC